rnacentral:misc_RNA from 1 species
AACGGAUUCGUCUUGAAGAUCGCGCGGUUAAGAUGUCGGUGAAAACCGUCGGCAAGGAAAAAGUUGGCGUACUGGAUAUUCCGGGCUUCUAUGUCGGCUUGACCGAUGAUGUCAAAGUUCAGCUUCAGAAGCUGGAAAAACAGAACGUUAAUAGCAUCGUUAUCGAUCUGCGUUCAAACGGCGGUGGGGCGCUGACGGAAGCCGUUUCGCUUUCCGGUCUGUUUAUCCCUUCUGGUCCGAUAGUUCAGGUGCGCGACAAUAACGGCAAAGUGCGUGAGGAU